ensembl:lincRNA
AUUCUUGAUACAAAUAGAAUUGCCCCUUCCCCUUGCCUCCUCUUGCAAGUGGGCCCACAUUGGAAUGUUUUAUAAUCUUUCAUGCACUGGGAAGGUCACAAAUAUCACUAAUAUGCUUUAGGUUUCAGCUCAGUCAUUUCUAUCUUCCUUUUAUCCUGAACUGUUUACGCUAACUCCCCAAUGUUUGUCAAAUAGUCAUCAUCCACAUCACUGAAUUUUUCAUAUUUUCCAAACAUUUCCCCUAAGUAUUUUCUUUCACAGACUUGAGUUACAUUGAAAGCAAGAGCCACAUUCCACUCAUCUUCAGAAUUCCACAACACAAAUUCAGAGCUUUAGACAUUGUAGACCAGCACUGUAAAACAGAAUCUUCUGUGAUGAUCGAAAUGCUUCUCUAUGCUAUCUAGUACAGCAGCUACUAGCUACUGUGGUUAUCACCCAUUUGAAAGGUGAAACUCAAGAACUGAACUCUUAAUUAAAAUUAAAAUGUGGACUGGACCUACUGAAUCGAACAGCACAUUUGUACACAAUUAGUAUAGUGGUUCAAAGAAUUACUUUUUAGUUGGCUUUUUGGAUGGUUGUAUUUUUAUUCCUUUUUAAAAUAUAUAUUUGUUUUUCAAGGCUUACUGUAAAUUAGAGGGAGCAAAUUGGAGGAGAAAUGACAAAAGAAACAGAAAAAAUGUUUAAUCAGACAAAGGAACUAAAAAACCUCAGUCUUAAUUAGAAGAUGGUCAAACAAAUCUCUUAACUGAUGUUCACAAUGAUGGUUUCAAGUCAUCUAAGGAAUGGCUGGCUCUUGGAUGGAUGUUUGGCUGAAACAUUUUACCAUCGUGGACACCAUGCUUACUUUAAAUGAUUCCAGGAAUUUGCAGAAUGUGGAGAUAACAUCUGUUACCAAGGAUAGCUCCUCUCCUCCAGAAUAACUGAGGAGCCUGAAUAAUUGACUCUAUCAUUUGAAACCUAUAUCCUGAACAUGUUUCAGUAAUAAUUCUGUGACCAUAAUUCUGUGUCUCGUUCUCCUUUCAAGACUGAAUGAUAGGUAAGGAAAAGUCCGUAUCUUCUAUAUAUGUAUGGCAUUUAGCCUCAUUUUUAUGAGUAACUUGUUUUUUCUGCUUACAGUUAACCUACCUUUACUUUUCAUAUAUCAGGUUUUUUUCAUAUAUCAAGUGUGAUCUUGGCAGCUUCUUUGUCUUCUGAAUUUCUUGCCUUUUUUUUCAAGAUAUAUACAUUUAUAUGUAUCAAAUAUAUAU